rnacentral:rRNA from 1 species
UACGGAGGGUGCAAGCGUUAUCCGGAUUCACUGGGCUUAAAGGGUGCGUAGGCGGGCCGGUAAGUCCGUGGUGAAAUCUCUGAGCUUAACUCAGAAACUGCCAUGGAUACUAUUUGUCUUGAAUGUUGUGGAGGUAAGCGGAAUAUGUCAUGUAGCGGUGAAAUGCUUAGAUAUGACAUAGAACACCAAUUGCGAAGGCAGCUUACUACACAAAUAUUGACGCUGAGGCACGAAAGCGUGGGGAUCAAACAGG